rnacentral:lncRNA from 1 species
AGAACUCGUAAAUAGUCCAUAUUUAUCUUUUUAAUCCGGAAUUAAAACUUGUAAGAGGUAUUUCUCCCUCAUAAGAGCUCCGAAUUUGAUGAUUCUUUUUCCUAAUUUUAUCUAAAAUCACUCUUUCAUUUUAUGGUGUAUGUUUGCAAGUUAGGUACUAUUUCUUGGAUCUUAUACAUAUUGCUUAGUUUCUUACAUCUAUGUAGAAAAAUAAACAAAUGAUUUUGCAUAACAAUUGGAAAUAUAAAUUCAUAUUUCCUAAUACUAAGUUAAAUAUGAUGUUGUGUUCAAAUUUGAGGUGUAUAUGAGUUGAAAAGUAUUCUGACAUAUGCAAACUUGAAAGUUUUCCUCAAGUUAUAGGAAAUUAUGUGGGAGAUAUAUUAAUUUGUGAACAAUGUGUAGCCCCACUUUAUUAAAACUAUUUGAAUUUUUUAUGACAAGAUUAUGGACCGAAAAUAAUUUGAUGUGUUAGUUUUUAGAAUUUUCUAACAAAAUUUAGAUAUUAUAAUAAUUAUUUUGUAGUAGUUUAGACUUAGAUAGUUGAAUUAUCCAUAUCAAACAAUUGAAUUUUGUAUCUAUCUCUAGAACUUGGGCUAUAAUGGUAUAUAUGAACCUGAAAAUAUUUUUUCUAUAAUUUUUUGUAUCUUAUUGGAGGCACACGUAGUUCAAUUUAAAAAUACUUUUUAAAUUACUUGUGAUGAUAAAUACGAUGAAUGUUUGUGUUAGAUGGGCCGAAAAACUUACCCUGGGCUAUUUUCUACUGAAGCCCGAUUCCU